UACGUAGGGUGCGAGCGUUAAUCGGAAUUACUGGGCGUAAAGCGUGCGCAGGCGGUUAUUUAAGUCAGGUGUGAAAGCCCUGGGCUUAACCUAGGAAUUGCGCUUGAGACUGGAUAGCUUGGAGUGCGGCAGAGGGAGGUGGAAUUCCACGUGUAGCAGUGAAAUGCGUAGAGAUGUGGAGGAACACCGAUGGCGAAGGCAGCCUCCUGGGCCAGCACUGACGCUCAUGCACGAAAGCCAGGGGAGCGAACGGG
rnacentral:rRNA from 1 species